UGACAAACCACCAUUGACUGUGUUUGUAUAAAAGAUAUUUACUUCAAUUAUCACACCUAGGGUGCUAGUGAAUAAUAAUAAUAAUACAUUGUGUGAGAUUCAUACAGUGAUAUUGCUUCUCCAUAUCAUAUAGGGACCGUUGUACAGUGCUGAGAACAAACAUUAUUAUGGCUACCCAACAAAGACAGAACAAUUGCCUGCUGACGGGACCUCUAUUCCCACUGUCGCCAGCCAUAAAGAACUUGUACUAUAUGUUUGAACAAAUACCAAUAAAGAAAAAGCUACAAAAAAAAGAGUCACAGCAACACAACAUGGGCUUCUCAAAGCUACGUGUACAAAAAUUACACUUUUUUUGGUCAGUUGGGUCUCUCGUGAGGAUUUUUGUUUUUGUUUUUUUUUCUUUUUUUCAUAUUUUAAACUUGUGAUCGUGAAUAACAAACAAGCUCUAAAAACAUCUAAGACUUAAUGCAGUACAGAAAAAAAUAAAAUAAAAUAAAAAUAUAUUUAAAAAAAUAAUAGAAUACUGCUAAAAAUGUCAGACACCACAAUACACCGGGGAACUGAGCUUAUUCAAAUGUUCUCAAGAAAUAAGGAUAAAAAAGACAAGUACAUCACGUCUGAGUUCAUCUUGUGCUGUGUUAGUAGUCAGGGCAUUUUUCAGCUGCACCCAUCUUCAUGGCAAGUAGUUAUUGCACAAAUAUAAGAAGUUAGUUUUAGAGUAACAUAAACAGGGACAUGAAGAAAUGCGUUAUUUUCCUCCUUUGUUACAGGUGAAUCUUGCCUUUGGAUACAAGCCCAUAUGUCUAUCCAAAUACAACUGCAUUUGUGGUAGACUCAUUGCAAAAAAUAUGAAAUGAGGAGAAAAUAUAUAUAUAAAAAGUACUGCAGGCUGUAUUGUCAUGAGGUUAUGACCAAUAUUUAGUGUGUCAAUGUGUAAUUAUAUAGUGGCAAUUUUUUGUAUUUUUUAAGCUUCUGUCCAAAAACGUGCUCGUUGCGGAAGUGGAAUUUAUCUGAAAUUGCUGAGAUCUAGGUGACAGAUAGAUGCACAUGUGGUAACCAGUCACCGACCCAGAGUAGAGGCGGCCAUUAUGUGAGGGUCGUAACCUUAUGCCUGAGGAUAGGAAGCAAUCACAUUACUAUGGGAACACCUCAGUGACGGCAGCAGGCAAUCAUUCCUCUCUCCGGUCACUAGUAACGGAUAGGCUACCUACUCUUGAAUAUUGGUUGAUUCCCUACAAUGGCUGCUUCCACCAGUAGUCACUGACAGAAACUCAAGUUAGGCCACCAAAAGCUUAAUCUACAUGGUGUAGUCAAUCUCAGUAGACACUUACUGUAACAAUGUAGCAGGGUUAAUGUCUUGCAACACAACAAUGAAAUAUUAAUGGAAUUUAGAAACCAAAACGUUACAAUAUUUCCUCGUAAAAUAUAAUGAGCAUUUGGAAGUCCAGAACAAAGUGCCAUUUACCAUUUGAUACGUCUUAGUAUAGCAGAAGAUAUCUGUCUGGUGUACAGAACAGGUCUCUCUGUCCUAGAAUGGUACAUGUGGUAUAUUGCCGUUUCUUGCAUCACAACCAGUCCUGAAUCUACUGAAACUAAAUAGUACAAGAAAUCCAACACUUUGAACCACGAUAUCUGUUGAAAAUAUUUUCAGGCUCUUAGAGGCAUAAGGCAAGAAAAAAAAAUUCAAAAAACUGGUUAUUGGGCGCAUUAAAAAUACAUUAAGUGUUUAAAGGGUUGUCCAGUUUCGACCCUCCAGAUCAAGCUGCAAUGAAGAAUGGGUAAAUACUUACUUGACAGAUUCUGCUCGGCUGCUCCAGUUCUCCUGGCCAGGCUUUAUUUACCCAGCUGCAACAGUGACGUCACGUCAACAAUACGUGACUGCUUGCAGCCAAUCACUGGCCUGGGUUCAUCUCUGAAACUAGUGAUUGGAUGCAGUGGUCACGUGUUGUCGAAAUGACAUCACCACUGCAGCUGGGUAAAUAGAGCCCGAACAGGAGAAACAGGGUGGUGGCCCAGGAUCUGGCAGGUAACUUCUUACCCAUUCUCCAUCACAGCUUGAUCAGGAGAGUUAUUCGGUUUCAUCCCUAAUAUAGAUACAAAGUGGCCAGAAUGCAGCCAAGGUGUGGCUCUAAUGUGUCCCCCCCCCCCCCCCCCCUACAAACUGACAUGUGGUAAAGACCAGGCGGUUAUUAUGGGUAAAAAUGAUGUUUACCUGCAGAACAUGUUUGCAAUAACAAUGAGCUUGAAAAUUGCACCAAUUUGUAGCAAAAACACAUGUUGGUGCAGUUUCCAGUUGCUAUGCAUGUCCUCUACCCAGAGAGGUAACCUACAGCAUCUUGGCCCCAAUGUAAAUCUGUAAAGGGCCUUUAACUAUGACACAUUCAUAGGGCUGGGGCAGAGGGACCUUAGGUGUCCACCUUUGGCUCUAGGUACCAGGUAGGACGACAGCACUCUGCACCCUGUCUCUACCCUAAUUGAUCUAUUACCCCACAAUGACUAAAUGACAAGUGUAUUUAACCCACAGGACUGGACAUGAUGAAGUGAAUCUGUAACAAGUGGCGGAGUAGUUUUAUGUUUGUAUGGUAUGUGCUAGUUUUCAGACUACAGAAUCUGAAAGCUAGAAAUUGUGUUACCAUUUUUAUUUCAGAAUACUGAAGUAUCGCAGUGAAUAGUACAAGACGACUUGAAUAAGUAGUGUUUAAAAAUAUUUUAAAAACCACUGAAAUAUUAAUUAAAAAACUAUUUCCAUUUAGCAUGUUAAAAAUAAAAUAAUUGGUAUCGUUGCAUCCAAAAAAUGGCCACUAUACUAAAAUAUCAUGUGAUUUAUCCUGCACAGUAAACAGCGUAAAAAAAACGGAAUUGUUGUUUUUUUUGUGUCACUUUGCUCCCCCCAAAAAUGGAAUUAAAAUUUAAAAAAUUUAUCAAAAGGUUACGUGUUCCUCAAAAUGAUACCAAUAAAAACGACAGCUCAUCUUGCAAAAAAACGAGCCUUCACUUUUACUGCAUAGUAAACGCCGUAAAAAAAUAACCCCAAAUUACAUUGAGUUGCAUUUUUUAACCCCCAAAAUAUCUUUUUUUUUACAGCUUCACAAUACAUUAAUCCCAUGGUUCGUUAAAUGGUGCCAUUAAAAGUUGGGGCGGGAAGAAAAAAUGGAAAACGGCAUUUCCAAAAUUGCCCUGGUCUCAAAAGGCCUUAAUCUGGAAGUAAACAACUGCAAGCAGAGAUCUUGAACCAUCCACAAGGAAUUGAUAUAGAAACUAUACUGGAAAAUUUAGCAAUAAACUGUGAAUAUGAAAAAAAAUUCUGGAGUCUCUGGGACUUGAACCUCAUACACAGGCCAGUCGUAAAAAUCUCUCAUGUAUGUGAAAGUUUAGAGAGAAGCAUGGUAGAAGCAUGCUUGGAGAUACUUCAGUGGUCACCAUACAGUUAUUAGAAUGUACAUUGAAUAAAAAUGGACAAUGAGAUAUACAGAGGUACCUGACAAUGCUGGAGGAUUUUCCCUGUAUAGUGUAACAGCAGAUAGUAACUCAGUAUGGUCCUAUACCUUAUUGCUUAGUGUUGCUGUAAUGCAGUAGUUUUGCUCUAUAACUUAGGUGACAAAUCUUUAACUCUCCUCAUAUAUACAAAAAAAAAAAAGGGUAAUGUGGCAAGUAAUGUCUAUUUAUACAGUGUGCCAGCUGCACAGGUCUAUAUCUAUGGCUGGAAAAGAUUAUACCGCCCAGAAUUACAGUAUACACUCUGAGUAUGUGGAUAGAUCCUACAUGCAUGACUAAUUUGUGAUUUUUGGUUCAUCUACUGUUUAGGACCAGUUUGCAUAGAAGACCAUAGUCCUGUUGAUGUAACACAUGGAUAGUAUGGCUUUAUGGGUCUCCUUCACUGUAGCUGCUCUUCUGACAUAUGGGUGAAAUUUUGCAGGAUAGUCAUCUAAAAGAAACCAAUUAAGAAAAUCUUGGAUGUUUACAGGAUGUAACGAAUUAGAAGCUUGUUAGCCUAGAGGAGGCUAGCCAGGGUUUAAAGGUUUCCCACUUUGGACAACAAUUUGGACAUCUAUUUCAGUGUGUUCCAUCAGGGCAUAUGGAGGUCAUGAAGGGGGUGUUACAUGGAUGUUCAUUGAUUCCAAUGGGUGUCCUUUAAACAGCUCAUGCAGCAGUGUUAUAUGGGAAUUGAGCAUUUGCCAAGUGAUCUGGUGGGAGGGACACUAAGAAGCACCCCCUUUGUCACUAUCAGCUACAGUACUGGUUAGGAGAGUUUGCCCACAUGAUCUCUACUUUUGUUCUUCUCAAUAUCCCUGGUUUAUUUGGUCCCAUUUAUAGCCGAGGUAUUCUUCAGCUUUCUCCUAAUACUGCGGUAUUUUUCCCAGCACUUAUACUGGGGAACCUGCUGGAUCCCAUCACAAUCAAUGGGGAUCUGGCGGUGCCGGAUACAGUAACUCCAGUAAUCUGCUCCUUUGCCGGAAAAGACUACUCAUUACAUGCAAAGCGAGAUAUUUCAAGCCCUGUAUUUGUUAUAAUUUGGAUGAUUAUGGCUUACAGUUAUGAAACCCCAAAGUCACAAUUUUGAGGUACCCUUUGAUCAGGGGGUAUGGAUUCAUUAGCUGACUGGAGUGUGACACUUGAAGCCUAGAAUAUUGAACCUUUUCACAAAACUUUAAUUUUAAGCUGCAUUAAUGCAAUUCCUUUUAAUUUGCAUUGCUGAAAUAAAUGGACUUUUGCACGAUAUUCUAAUUUUUCGAGUUUCACCUGUAUGUAUAUUCUGUACAUGCCUCCAAUUCCUUUGGUGGUUUUAGUGACCUACGUGGUAACAUGGGCAAAGCCAAGAUGAGAGAUAGGCAGAAUAGGCUGCUGCCUUAGGCCCAACUAUUUUUGAAUUUCUUUUGACAGCUAGUCAGGCAUUAGGUCUCAGUGGCUGGUAACGCUGUAAAACACAACCACACACAUAUAUGAAGGCUGCGUGCACAGGCAUAGCAUGCACGUUUGCAUGUUACUGGGUGCAUCAUGGCUGCAGGCAGAACGACUAUUCAAUAGCUAUCAUGCUGAUGUUAAGGGUGUAAAGGUUAUUGUGAAACCCCUGCACCAAAUUUGUGCCACUACUAAACACAGUUUAAGGGGGAUUUCAUGGGACGUGACUUCUACUUAUAUGCAAAAGAGAGAGAAAAAAUAUCUUUGAAACUGAAAGACCAGCACAGGUAUCAUUUUUGAUCAUCAUGCUCAUUAUGUCGCACCAGAAUUUAUUUAAAGACCACGGCUUUAAAUGUAUAUUGUUAAAGGGGAAUCACAUCUGUGCAAAUACUUACAAUUUUGGCAAAUAUAUUUUUUACAAAUAGGCUUAUUUUAUACUGCAAAAACAUGAACAACCCUUUAAGUGUUCAGAUGGGAAAAAAAUAACUUUAAAAGGAGACAAUAUACAGUAACCUAAUUGACUAGUGAUUAUCAAUUGGUUCUACUACAAAUACAGCAAAAAUCUGCUGACAACAUUUUUUUUUACUUGCCCUUUUUGCCUCUGAGCCUCUUUUUUUGUAAUUGGUUUUCUGUAUUGUUCAUCGAGAAUUUAAUCUAUCCUUAACCUGAAGUGCUACUGCAUCUUACCAAUGCAUGUAAAGAGCAUUUUAUAUUUUACUACACUCUUGUAUAACAAAUGUGGUUCUACACAUUAAAAUGUUUCUACUAAAUAAUACAAAGCUCAUUGAGGUUUAGCAUAGGGAGUACGGUUUUAUAACAACACUCCCAUCCCCUAUAAGAUAAAGGAUUAAAACAUAAAAAUAAAAAAAAGAUAUAUUAUUAAAACAUAAGUAACAAAUGCACCAAAUAACGUCAUCAAAAGAUGCUGACCUAAGACACAAUGUUUCAAUGAUACACGAUAAGAUCAAAGAAAAAAAAAAAUCUUUAAAUCAAUAAUAUACAGUAUGACAACUACAUCUUGUAAAUUAUACCCAAUACUGCCGGCAGUCUAUUCCCUCUAAAGAAUAUUUGCCCCCGUUUUCAUCCCUUCCUAACAAUCAGAUAUAAAAAUACAGCACCUAUAAAUAAGCAAAAAAAUAUAUAUAUACUGAAAUCAUCUAUUGUUAGUUUUUAAGAUAUGGCGAGAAACGAGCCUAGUUCAGCAAAUCUUGUCGAAGCCAUAGCAGAUAAACCAGCUUAUUGAAAAAGGUGGCAGUAAUGCACUCUAUGUGUGCACAAGUACAUAAGAAAAUACACAGACUUAUAAAAUUGCAUACACGGGUAUUCCCACACGUCUCUGUUCUCUCUCACACACAUAUUGACAGCAAGAAGGAAGAGGAUACAAAUUGGAUAUGGGUGUCGUACUUUGAACGAGAACGGACAGUUGUCGGAAAGAUUGCUCGGGGGCCACAAAUGCCGUCUCGUCCAAUGGUUAUUUUGGUUCUAGAUUUGUCUAUUUACACUGUAUUAUGUCAGAGUUAAGAGGUUGCUUUGUUUUAUCUUUUUUUUUUCUAUAUUUUUAUUAUAUUUUUUUAUACAUAAAAAGUUUAUAAUUAGACUGCAUUUAAAAUGUCUCUUUCUCUGCAUCCAGCUGGCAGCAUAUUUGGUAAUAGUUGAACGUAU